rnacentral:tRNA from 1 species
GGGGAUUUAGCUCAGUGGUAGAGCACUUGCCUAGCAAGCACAAAGCCCUGGGUUCGAUUCCCAGCUCUG